rnacentral:rRNA from 1 species
ACGGAAGGCAGCAGUGGGGAAUAUUGCACAAUGGGGGAAACCCUGAUGCAGCGACGCCGCGUGAAGGAAGAAGUAUCUCGGUAUGUAAACUUCUAUCAGCAGGGAAGAUAAUGACGGUACCUGACUAAGAAGCCCCGGCUAACUACGUGCCAGCAGCCGCGGUAAUACGUAUGGUGCAAGCGUUAUCCGGAUUUACUGGGUGUAAAGGGAGCGCAGGCGGUCCUGCAAGCCAGAGGUGAAAACCCGGGGCUCAACCCCGUGAUUGCCUUUGGAACUGUAGGACUUGAGUACUGGAGGGGCAGGCGGAAUUCCUGGUGUAGCGGUGAAAUGCGUAGAUAUCAGGAGGAACACCGGUGGCGAAGGCGGCCUGCUGGACAGAAACUGACGCUGAGGCUCGAAAGCGUGGGGAGCAAACAGGAUUAGAUACCCUGGUA